rnacentral:rRNA from 1 species
AGAGUUUGAUCCUGGCUCAGGACGAACGCUGGCGGCGUGCUUAACACAUGCAAGUCGAGCGGUAAGGCCCUUUCGGGGUACACGAGCGGCGAACGGGUGAGUAACACGUGGGUAACCUGCCCUGUACUCUGGGAUAAGCCUGGGAAACUAGGUCUAAUACCGGAUAUGACCUGCCUCUGCAUGGGGGUGGGUGGAAAGUUCCGGCGGUAUGGGAUGGACCCGCGGCCUAUCAGCUUGUUGGUGGGGUAAUGGCCUACCAAGGCGACGACGGGUAGCCGGCCUGAGAGGGUGACCGGCCACACUGGGACUGAGACACGGCCCAGACUCCUACGGGAGGCAGCAGUGGGGAAUAUUGCACAAUGGGCGAAAGCCUGAUGCAGCGACGCCGCGUGAGGGAUGACGGCCUUCGGGUUGUAAACCUCUUUCAGCAGGGACGAAGCGUGAGUGACGGUACCUGCAGAAGAAGCACCGGCUAACUACGUGCCAGCAGCCGCGGUAAUACGUAGGGUGCGAGCGUUGUCCGGAAUUAUUGGGCGUAAAGAGCUCGUAGGCGGUUUGUUGCGUCGGCUGUGAAAACUUCACGCUUAACGUGGAGCCUGCAGUCGAUACGGGCAGACUUGAGUUCGGCAGGGGAGACUGGAAUUCCUGGUGUAGCGGUGAAAUGCGCAGAUAUCAGGAGGAACACCGGUGGCGAAGGCGGGUCUCUGGGCCGAUACUGACGCUGAGGAGCGAAAGCGUGGGGAGCGAACAGGAUUAGAUACCCUGGUAGUCCACGCCGUAAACGGUGGGUGCUAGGUGUGGGGGACUUCCACGUCCUCCGUGCCGCAGCUAACGCAUUAAGCACCCCGCCUGGGGAGUACGGCCGCAAGGCUAAAACUCAAAGGAAUUGACGG